AAGGGAAGGAGAACUCGCGCAGAGGUUCAGACGCCCGCGUCCUCGUGUCUGAUGGGACGCGUGAGUGGUGAUGGUGGAGUGGUGGCGCUGGUGAUGGUGGAUGAUGGUGCUGGUGGAUGGAGAUGGGUGAUGUGGUGCUGGAGGUGGGUGGCGCAACAGCGAAGGUGGAGGCGCGGUGGAGCGGUGGCGCGCUCCACGCCGGCCGGCUGCGGCGGCGGCCGGUGGUGGAGAAGGUGGGGUGAGGAAGAUGGAGAUGCCAGGCCCGAUGGGGAUUAGCUGCCGCUAGGGAUUUUGACCCCUCCUCUGAUCUGCCACUUUGCAAUUUUGGCCCUUCUCCUUUUCUUCUUUCUUCAUAAGAAGGUCCCUUUCUUCUUUCACUUGUCCCAUGGAGCAUCAUUUCUUCACACACAAGUCCCUCUGUCUUUCUUCUUCCUUUUCACUUGACUGGCUCUCUUAGCCACUAGUCCAGAUCUUGAAGUUUAUAGUGCCUUUGCAAACUUUUCUGCAAAAGGAACACAAUGACUGGUAAAUGAUACUUUAUAUGAUUUUCAUGCAAAUAUUCAAUAUUUCACAGCAAGAGUUGAUGGUCAUAUCUCAAUAAAUAAUAUAUUUCUAUGCCAAAAUUGUAUAUAUGAAAUGUGCUUAUCAAGUUCCCCCACACUUAAACUUUUGCUUGUCCUCAAGCAAAGGCAUAUGACAAGAGCAAGAAUGUGCACAGUGAGCUGACUAGAGAAUACCAAGUGAAGUAGAUCUCUAAACAGUGCAUGCUUUGGACUUAGCUAGUGAAAAUUAAUGGUCAAGAGUGCUACAAAGCAAUAGGAUACUAGUUGACUCAAUCAUUUUAUACUUUUACAAUGAUAAAAGUGGAUCAACAAGUUCAAAUGAUGAUUGUGCCAAAGGUUCCUAAAGAGAGCAUGAUCCAGAGCACAAAAAAGAACAUAAACUUGUGAUCAGUUCACUUAUUUACAGAAGUAAAGCAAUGAUAAUAUUUUAUCGAUCUCACCAAAGGAGCAUACCACUGAUCCCGAGAACAUGGUAUACACCUGGAUCGACCAAUUAUUAGUUAUUUUUUUUGUUUGUCUCCCCAAAGGAACAUACCACCGAUCCCGAGAACAUGGUAUACACCUGGUUCGACAAUUAAAUUUUUUUAUUAAUAAUUACUGCCCAAGCUAACCUGAUUUCACAUGCCACCGAUCUCGGGAACAUGACAUGCUACUGUAGGUAGCCAGACUUAUUUAUACAUUAUUAGUUAUCUUAAAUGAACAACGCAUAAGAACAAAAACAGGAAUCAUCACUUCUCCAUGUCUGGUUCACAUGCUACCGAUCCAGGGAACAUAGCAUGCUAAUCCAUAGUGGUUAGGUGAUUGCUCUCAAUGGGAAGACACUUGGCACAAAUUCAGCAUCUAAACAUGGUGAUCUAGGUGUAUCAAGGUAAAAGUAGAAAAUGAUUAAGUUUUCUAGUGUACUAGGGAUUUGAGCACUCAAAACUAAUAGCUUUCACUAAUUUCAGCAAAGCAAGCAUUGUAUAGAUCACUAGUUUACAAGGCAUUCAACACUCAGUUCACAUAUUCACAUCAAUCGCCCUAUGUGGAAGGUAAAAUUCAGUGGGACGGUAUUUAAGAAAUGACUCAAGCAACCCAAAUAAAAUUUGAUUUCAGCAUGUAUCAAUGGAUGAUAUACUCGGAAUGGGUCAUGAAACAGCUCACCGGGCUUUGAUGAUGUAGCACUCUCUCGAUCACCUCACCAACUGCAGCUCUUCUCCCUUGCUUCCUCAUGGAUGCUCCAGCUUCACUCUUCCAUAUGUGUGCCCCAUUGCUUCUCCUCAUCGCCAUUCUCUAGCUCCACCAGGAUCCCAGGGAAUGUCAUCUCGAACUUGGUCAGCAUGUAGUGGAUCGUGCACAAGCAACAACCUGAAAGAGCACUCAACCAAAGAGACAAUGCAAGUGGUAGGGAUAAUACCCUCCAAGUCAUCAAUCGAAUAUCCAAUUACAUAAGCAUAGCUAUAAAGCACAUGUUCAGGAUGGUAGAAAUCAGCAAGGUCAACACUAACACGAGGAUGAUAUUUAUCAUUAAGCUCAAGACUAGCAUGGGAAUGAUAUGUUUCAUUAAGCAUAGGACUAGCACGAGGAAAGUAACUAUGAUCAUCACAAAUGAGAGUAAUGCCACUAACAGGGUAUAUAUCAUCAUAUCCAAGCAAAUGAGUUUUCAAAUCAAUCUUAAGUGAUGGUAUCAUGUAAUGCAAGGUGGUAGCAAAGAAAUCACAAGGCAUCAUGUCAUCAAGAGGAUUGAGUAAACCUGACACAUCACGCUCUGGUAUGACAAUAGGCAAAUGAAUCUCAUGUUCUUCAUCUUCAUCUAUAGCAGCUUCUUGUACUUCUUUAGGAGUAAUAGAUGAUGAGUCUUCAACUUGAUCACUUGGGAAUUGCAGCUCUUGACCAUCUUGUUCCUUGUCUUCUAGUUCAUCUUCUUCAAUCUGAGGUCUUUCUUCCUCUGGACUCUUGCUAUCUUGCUCAACUGGAUGUGACGGUGUUGGAACCUCGCAUGUAUCAAGGGGAAUCUCGUCCACACUCAACUCAAGGAGGGAAGAGAUAGUACUGCCAGCGUUGAUGUUCUUCUCAAUCUUCCACUAGCUCCUUUCCACUCUUAAUCUUCUUCAUUUCCUCAAGUAUCACCUUCCUAAUAGGAUCAUCCUCGGCACUCCAAGUGAACUCGAGACUCAAAAGUGUGAGCUUGUCUAUGUCAUCGAACUCAUCUUGAGUGGGCACUUGCACAUGAGAUUGCACAACAGGUGCUGGAGUUGUUGGUUGACCAAAUGGAGGACCAUUUAACUCCAUUGGACACAUCUUCUGGUGUAGAGGUAUAUGAAUAGGAGCUGAAUAAGACUGUUGUGGAGCAUAGUUGUGGUUCUCCUCAUUGUACCUGAAUCCCUGCGUAUGAUUACUAGAAGCAAACGGUGAGAUCUCAGGGUUAUUGCUCCUAUAUGACAUAUUCUGGUUUUCAGGCCACCCAUGUGUGUAAUUGUUUUGGUAUGAGCUAUGCUGUUGAGCGAAGCUCAUGCCAAAACAAUCCGGAGGAUGGGAGUAACCACGCUGACAUUCAGCGGGCGAAUGGCCCUGAAAUCCACAAAUAUGGCAGGUAGGAGCAACAUAAGGAUGGCCUCUAGAAUAAGGAACAUAAGAGCAAGGCCUAUCCUCAAAAACUACUUCUCGCUGCCGAGCUAAAUCAUCUAAUCGAUGGGAAAUCUUACCUAUGAGUUCUUGAACACUUUCCGUGUUGUUUGUAGUGUUGCUCGCAUAAGCCUGAUGAUCUAAAUAGUAAGCCAUAACCAAGAGGAUAAUCCAACCUGCAAAAAGGAAAAGAAGACAAAAAGAUACUAACUAAAACAGGGGUUAGUGGCUAGAGAUAUAUCACAAAUAUAUGGCACAAGAUGAAAAUAAGAAAAACCUAGUCUAUAGCCUAGCACAAUCGCUCGACGCUAGUCCCCGACAACGGCGCCAAAAUGAUCAUUUGUAAUAUAGCGGGGUUUUUACGCCCCAAACUACGAGUGUCGUGUUCUCCACAGGGACUAGGCGAUGGAAACUAUGCUCGGCUAAAGCUAGGUAACAUGAUAUUGGGUGAUGAAAAUAGAAAAUAAAGUAACACUAACAAGAGUAUCAAUAAAGGAAAAGACACAGAAACAAAGGGAGGUUCAGAUUGUACUUUUAGUCUUUUUGGUAUUAUCGUUUUACUUGAGAAAGUAGACACUAACACAAGAAUACAAAUAUGACCAAAUGGAAACAACAAUACUAGAACACAUAUAUUUAUCUAACAAAUGUAUGACAGAGAGAAGAAACAAGAUAAAGGACAUGGAUGAUAAUGCUUCAUGUCACAACAAAUAUUACAUGUACAGAGCUAAUACAGAGACUGGAAAUUAAAUGAUCACACAACUGACUACCACAAAGAGUAAUUUCAAUACAAAAUAGAAUCACGAGUAGUAAUCUGAAUUUAUACAAACCACUAACUGAAAUACAUGCCCCAUAUAUAUAAUUGUUUCACAUCAAACACACACACAUAUGCAUUUAUGUCACACGAACAAUAAACUGGACACAAAUCAUCAGCAAGUACAGAAUAUGUGUGACAUAUAUAGCUAGUUCUUACACGUCAACAAAAGUGACACUAAAUUGUUCUACUUCUUGCAGAUUAAUAGAGAACAACCAAACAAGCACAAGUCUGAAUAACACAAGGUCUAACAACGUCUCUGCUACAUAGAAAUUACACACACACACACACACAGAGAGAGAGAGAGAGAGAGAAGCAGUAGGGCGUGAGAGGAGCAGCAGAGAGAGUUGAGGGAGAAGCAGCAGGGGCGCAGCAAGAAGGUGCAGCAAUAGAAGAAGAGCAUCAGAAAGACAGAGAGGCAAGGAGCAAGAACAGCGAGGCAAGGGAAGAAGAAGAGCAGUAGCAGUAGGGGAGGAAGAGAGAAGGCGCAGCAGCAGGUCAGGGAGAUAUAAAGCAGCAGCAAGGCGAUGGAGAGAGGGAGUAGUAGCAGCAGGAGGUCGAGGGUAAGAAGGACAGCAACACAGGGGUGCAAGGAAGAGCAGCAGCAGAAGUAAGGGAAGGAGAACUCGCGCGGAGGUUCAGACGCCUGCGUCCUCGUGUCUGAUGGGACGCGUGAGUGGUGAUGGUGGAGUGGUGGCGCUGGUGAUGGUGGAUGAUGGUGCUGGUGGAUGGAGAUGGGUGAUGUGGUGCUGGAGGUGGGUGGCGCGACGGCGAAGGUGGAGGCGCGGUGGAGCGGUGGAGCUCCCCACACCGGCCUGGCUGCGGCGGCGGCCGGUGGUGGAGAAGGUGGGGUGAGGAAGAUGGAGAUGCC
rnacentral:lncRNA from 1 species